rnacentral:lncRNA from 1 species
UCAACUAAUUACAUAUACUUUUUAUAUAACAUAAUAGUCAUAACAAUGGAUUAUCACAUAAUACCUAUGAUAAGUAAACUUAGCUAGCAAUCCAGCUAUACAGGUCCACAAUAAAGGCAGCUAUACACGACAUGGAUAGAAGACCAUGGUCAAAAAGAGCGGGUGGAAGAUGCUAGACUGGACGACACGGAUAGAAGAUCAGCUAUAUGCAACAACAAAAGCGGCUGAACGAUGGAGUAGUGGUUAGGAUCAUUCAUCAAAAAGGCAUUUCUUUGUUGGCUUGCGCUUGCCUCGGCCAAGUGCUGGGUCUAUUUCCUACUUGGAGCAAACUCUAGAAUAGAGGAUAAAAUCCUACUCGGAUUUUGAAGAACCGUAUGCUGGAGACGAUGCAGGCACGAACACAGGUGAAGCCAGGAUUUGACUAUUAUGCAAACACAACAAACCACCCGUUUAUUAUGAGAGAUUGCUAAAUAGGAAGACAAUGAUUUUAACCGAGAUGAGAGAAAACAUUGGUGGAAAAGAAUAAAAGGAUGCAAGGUGUAACUCUGACCUUACAGCAGCCUUAGAGUGUUUGAUAUACUCAGAACCAGUUUGAAAAAUGUCAUGUGCAAUUGGAGAGCUGCAUUUAAAGAGAAGAAAGUUAUAGAACGUUGCAAGGAGAAACAGAACACGUGAAUGAAGCACUAAAUCUUGACAACAUGUAUCUUAGAAAUAUAUGCAAUUACCCCAAUGGUGUAGCGGCAGGAGAUGUAGUAGCUAAAUUAGCUCUAGUGGGAUUGUUUGUUUCGAAGGCAGAAAGUGAGCGCUUGGUAAGGAAAAUUUGCGACAUGGGUUGAUUGUCCUCAGAAGUUGCAGGAUGAAGAAAGUGGAGGUGUUUGUUGUUUGGUUGACCUUGUGAUCAAAAAUAACAAAUAGAAGAGUGAAAAUGUAGGUACGUGUACUUGUAAGCAUUCACACAUGCAAAAUACAGUUUUGUGAGAUUAAAGAGAACACUCUGAAAUUAUAGGUGGGAAGCUGUACAUGUUGGUAUUUCUUGUAACUGGCUUGGAAGCUGGGGUUCCUUUAGUCUUGGCUGCCACCUUUGGAGAAGUCUUCCUUGCAGGAGUUGAUCUGGAAGAUGGCAAAAGUAAAAAUGAAACAAAGAAGGUAAAUGGAAACAUGGACCAAACUAACUUUGUCUUCGGCAGCUUGGAUUGUUUUUUCGUUUUGAAGUGUCCUCAUCUUUGUGAGCAGCACUAACCAAAGAACUUAAUUGGAAAAGAGUGCAAAGUUAAGUAAGAAUGUAGAGUGUGAUAUAAGAACAUCCGAUAGUAAACUAACACUUGGUCUUCAGAAACAGUGGUUGGAGAUGUUGAAGGUGAGACAUAAGUUGGCACUGGGGCAACAUGCUCAGGAUCACCGGGCAUAGGUGUGUUGUGAGUACUUGGGGAACUGCAAAAAAUAUAAAGGUAAUGAAAAAGCAGGAAAGAUAUCACAAUGAAGAAAGUGCAAAAGGCUAACUGUAUACAAACGUCAACGGGCUAAUUAGGGUCGAAGGGGGAGGCGGAGCAACUGACUGACGACGGGGAGUAACCAAACCAGAGAUAUUGCAAACUUUAAAAUCUCCAAAAGGGUUUGAGUGGCUAAACUUUGGCAGUUGGAAUUCAAAAUCAACAUUUUU